AUACGGGGGGUGCAAGCGUUGUUCGGAAUUAUUGGGCGUAAAGCGCGUGUAGGCGGUUUGUUAAGUCUGAUGUGAAAGCCCGGGUUUUUUUCCAACCCAGGAAGUGCAUUGGAUACUGGCAGACUUGAAUACGGGAGAGGGUAGUGGAAUUCCUGGUGUAGGAGUGAAAUCCGUAGAUAUCAGGAGGAACACCGGUGGCGAAGGCGGCUACCUGGGCCGAUAUUGACGCUGAGACGCGAAAGCGUGGGUAGC
rnacentral:rRNA from 1 species